CAUUGAAUGAAUUAGGAAGCCACA
rnacentral:piRNA from 1 species